rnacentral:rRNA from 1 species
UACGGAGGGUGCAAGCGUUAUCCGGAUUCACUGGGUUUAAAGGGAGCGUAGGUGGUCUGUUAAGUCAGUGGUGAAAUCUCCGGGCUUAACUCGGAAACUGCCGUUGAUACUAUCAGUCUUGAAUAUUGUGGAGGUAAGCGGAAUAUGUCAUGUAGCGGUGAAAUGCUUAGAUAUGGCAUAGAACACCGAUAGCGAAGGCAGCUUGCUACACAAUUAUUGACACUGAGGCUCGAAAGCGUGGGGAGCAAACAGG